UACAGAGGGGGCAAGCGUUGUUCGGAAUUACUGGGCGUAAAGGGCGCGUAGGCGGCCUGCUAAGUCGAACGUGAAAUCCCCGGGCUCAACCCGGGAACUGCGUCCGAUACUGGCAGGCUUGAAUUCGGGAGAGGGAUGCGGAAUUCCAGGUGUAGCGGUGAAAUGCGUAGAUAUCUGGAGGAACACCGGUGGCGAAGGCGGCAUCCUGGACCGACACUGACACUGAGGAGCGAAAGCCAGGGGAGCAAACGGG
rnacentral:rRNA from 1 species